rfam:Paenibacillus popilliae ATCC 14706 DNA, contig: contig244.
UAGCCGGUGAAAGUCUGGUCGCGGGAGGAGCCAAGUCCUCGAGUAGCUAGGAUACCUGCGUAUGGCGAAAUCCGUACGUAGAAGCGUAUCGAUGAAAGUACCUGUCGGAGAAAUAGUGGAAUAUUUUGCUUGCAAUCAGACAAGACUGAAACUAAG